rnacentral:rRNA from 1 species
UACGGGGGGGGCAAGCGUUGUUCGGAAUUACUGGGCGUAAAGGGCUCGUAGGUGGCCAACUAAGUCAGACGUGAAAUCCCUCGGCUUAACCGGGGAACUGCGUCUGAUACUGGAUGGCUUGAGUUCGGGAGAGGGAUGCGGAAUUCCAGGUGUAGCGGUGAAAUGCGUAGAUAUCUGGAGGAACACCGGUGGCGAAGGCGGCAUCCUGGACCGACACUGACACUGAGGAGCGAAAGCCAGGGAGCAAAGCGGG